rnacentral:rRNA from 1 species
UACGGAGGGGGCUAGCGUUGUUCGGAAUUACUGGGCGUAAAGCGCACGUAGGCGGACUGUUAAGUCGGGGGUGAAAUCCUGGGGCUCAACCUCAGAAUUGCCUCCGAUACUGGCAGUCUCGAGUGCGGGAGAGGUGAGUGGAAUUCCCAGUGUAGAGGUGAAAUUCGUAGAUAUUCGGAGGAACACCAGUGGCGAAGGCGGCUGCACUGGUCCAUUACUGACGCUGA